CCUACGUGUGGCUGCAGUGGGGAAUAUUGGACAAUGGGCGAAAGCCUGAUCCAGCCAUGCCGCGUGUGUGAAGAAGGCCUUCGGGUUGUAAAGCACUUUCAGUGGGGAAGAAAGCCUUGGGGCUAAUACCCUCGAGGAAGGACAUCACCCACAGAAGAAGCACCGGCUAACUCCGUGCCAGCAGCCGCGGUAAUACGGAGGGUGCGAGCGUUAAUCGGAAUUACUGGGCGUAAAGGGCGCGUAGGCGGUCUGAUAAGCCGGUUGUGAAAGCCCCGGGCUCAACCUGGGAACGGCAUCCGGAACUGUCAGGCUAGAGUGCAGGAGAGGAAGGUAGAAUUCCCGGUGUAGCGGUGAAAUGCGUAGAGAUCGGGAGGAAUACCAGUGGCGAAGGCGGCCUUCUGGACUGACACUGACGCUGAGGUGCGAAAGCGUGGGUAGCAAACAGGAUUAGAUACCCCUGUAGUC
rnacentral:rRNA from 1 species